GGUCGGCCUGAGUACCCCUGCGGUGCUCCCUCACCCGAGGGUCGAUCUCGCCAAGAGCAGAACCCCGAAGCCUCAGGGGUUGCCUUAGGGUGUGUGUUUCAAUGCCUCUGCUCAAGGACUCUGUGUGUGUGUGUGUGUGUGUGUGUGUGUGUGUGUGUGUGUGUGUGUGUGUGUGUGAGACUCUGUGUGUGUGUGUGUGUGUGUGUG
rnacentral:lncRNA from 1 species